GUAGUAUAGUUGACUACCUUGCCGCUGACGGGUAACGGAGAAUUGGGGUUCGAUUCCGGAGAGGGUGCCUGAAAAACGGCAACCAUGACUACGGUCAGCAGCAGGCGCGCAAAUUGCCCAAUGCCAAUACUGGCGAGGCAGCACGAAAAAUAAUAACUUUGUUGUACUUCCGUACACCAGAGAUUGCAAUGAGCUGUAUCCACAAACACUGACGAGGAUCCAUUGUAGGGCAAGUCUGGUGCCAGCAGCCGCGGUAAUUCCAGCUCCGAGAGCGUAUAUAAAUGUUGUUGCGGUUAAAAAGCCCGUAGUUGGAUUUGAGGCCAUCCCUUGUGGGAGCUAACCUCGGCACUCCCGGGGUCAUGCAACCACGCUAUAGGGGUGUCCUGUCGGAUGCGGGAACGGAAGCCGGUCGCCUGCCUCCUCGGAGGUCUGGUGGCAAAACGGAGUCGUCACGCUCCAAUGGCUCGCCCGCAGUCGUCACUGUGAGUAAAACAGAGUGUUCAAGGCAACUCUUUGUCGAGUUGAAUGUCAAAGCAUGGAAUGACAAGGGAUCGACCACUAAGGGCCUUCUUUGUUGGUUUUUAACCUUCUGUGAGGUAAAUCUGUGGAUGCGGUGUCCCCCGAGGCCUUCGUGCAUCGGGGGCACUCUUCCGCAACCGGGAUCAAGAGGAGCACAGGGGGCCGUGAGUACUGGAGGGUGAGGGGUGAAAUCCUAAGACCCCUCCAAGACUGACAUCAGCGAAAGCACUCGGCUAUUGUGCUUUCAUUAAUCAAGGACGAGAGAUAGGGGAUCGAAGAGGAUUAGACACCCUCGUAGUCCUUUCCUUAAAUUCUGCAGACUUGGGAUCGGUCAGUGCUCUUUCUUUUUGACCUGAUCGGCACCUUCCCUCCCUCACCGAGAAAUCAAAGUCUUUGUGUUCCGGGGGGAGUACAUUCGCAAGGCUGAAACUUAAAGGAAUUGACGGAGAACCACCACCAGUCGUGGAUUGUGUGGCUUAAUUCGACCCAACACGGGGAAUUUUACCAGCACAGGACACGGUCAGGAUUGCCAAGUUAAAGCCUUUGCUUGAUUCCGUGAAGGGUGGUGCAUGGCCGCUUCUGGUUGGUGAAUGUGAUUUGUCUGCUUAAUUGCGAUAACGAACGAGAUCUCUGCCAAUUACUAGAGACCGCUUUCGCUCGCGGUUGGUGGCUGACGGGGAGUCUUCGGACUUUCUGUCAGUUGCCACCGAGAAGGCGGACCUUUACUUAUUGGGAUUAUGCUGUUUUCAAACGCAUUGAAACGAGAGCCCAAAGCAGGUCUGUGAUGCUCCUAAAUGCGCUGGGCUGCACGCGCAAUACACUGACUCCGACAGCGAGCUUCUUGUCCGCAACCUGGUCCGAAGGUACCGGGGAAACUUUGAGCCGGAGUCGUGCUGGGGAUUGAUGCUUGAAAUUAUUCUCCAUGAACGAGGAAUGUCUUGUAGGCGCGUUUCAUCAGAACGCACCGAAUACGUCCCUGGUUCUUGUACACACCGCCCGUCGUUGCCUGUAAUGGGUUGUGAGUAGAGCCAUUUGGAGAUUGUCGUGCCCACAUCGUGGGUGCGCGAUCGAAAUUGGGCAAUACUCGCAACCUAGAAGAGGCAAAAGUCGUAACAAGGUU
rnacentral:rRNA from 1 species